AUCAUUUGGGCCGACCUCAGAGCAGGUG
rnacentral:rRNA from 1 species